CCUCGUGAUCCGCCCGUCUCGGCCUCCCAAAGUGCUGGGAUUACAGGCUUGAGCCACCGCGCCCGGCCUACUUUGUUCCCAUAUAAAGAGUCUCUUUCUGAUUAUCGAGUUGACACAAUAUAUCCAAAGCAACUGAAUGCACGACUCAAACUGUCAUCCAACCACACAAAGAGGGCAUUGAUGUGAAAUGGGAAUCCAAUGGCUGGCCCUCUUCCAUACAGAUUUUGCCCAGAAGACACAGUAUUUUGGGAGGUAUGGUUCCACACUACAGCUAUUUGAAAGCAUAACUGGAACUUAUGAGGAAAAAUCCAUCUGCUUCUGUACCAAAAAAGACUGAAGAAAAAAACUGAAAAUCAGUCGUAGUGUGUGGAUUUGCCAAAAUACAUUAAAUUACUUUUCUGGA